rnacentral:rRNA from 1 species
AUUGAACGCUGGCGGCAGGCCUAACACAUGCAAGUCGAACGAGUGGCGGACGGGUGAGUAAUGUCUGGGAAACUGCCUGAUGGAGGGGGAUAACUACUGGAAACGGUAGCUAAUACCGCAUACCAUCGGAUGUGCCCAGAUGGGAUUAGCGAGUAGGUGGGGUAACGGCUGACCUAGGCGAAGCUCCCUAGCUGGUCUGAGCGGAUGACUAGCCAAACUGGAACUGCGACACUGUCCAGACUCCUACGGGAGGCAGCAGUGGGGAAUAUUGCACAAUUGGCGCAAGCCUGAUGCAGCCAUGCCGCGUGUGUGAAUAAGGCCUUCGGGUUGUAAAGCACUUUCAGCGGGGAGGCGUUACCCGCAGAAGAAGCACCGGCUAACUCCGUGCCAGCCGCCGCGGUAAUAC